CUCUUGAGGUCGCAGAUGAAUGGGGGGAUCGAAUAAUUUAUGUUCAGGUUGACAAGAUUGAGCUCGGAGAUCGAGCCUUCUUGGCAUGUGAUCUCAGGCCAUGUGCAGUGGGAGGAUGAAUUGGAGGCGACCCAGUGGUCGAGGGAAGAUGGGUCUCGCCAGGAUUGCCUCAGCUUCAACAGGACUUGCUGUUCUUGAUCUUGGAUUUGAGACUCUGCAGCAUUGGAGAGUAAGCACAGGAAGACGAGACACGGGAUGUACGAGAGGAAGAAGAUGUGAAUAUGAGGAGUUGAAGGGGUCGGUCUCGGCAUAAUUGGAGGUCGUUCAGAGUCUUUUCUGGCUAGGGAGACUCUUCGGUGUUGGAGCUAGAAAUGUAUCAACUCAACAUGAAGCAAGACGUGUUGGUUUGCUCUUGCUUAUUGCUCGGCAGAACCCCCAAGGUUUUUAAGCUCGUUAAAUUUGGUGGGUCCUAUUUACCCAAAAAAAAAAAAAAUGGUCCUAAUGUAAUAUUUGGCCUUGUUUACACUUGUAAAAAGGCUUAAUAUUACAAAAAAUCUCACAUGGGUACAUUGAUGAUAUUAUCAUAAGCUAAAUUUUUUUUAUUAUCAAAAGCCUCAAACUAGUACACGUGUGACAUUUUUACCUUAUGUUAACUUUCAUCAUGCGACAUCAGAUCCAUGUAGAUCAAUUAACAAGUUAAUACAAUGAAAAAUCCUAAACCGGUACAUCGAUAACAAAUUUACCUAGAUUUAUACACAUUUGACAAAUUUAUAUCAGAUUAAUUGUUGGGUCACUAAAAAUCCCAAAUUAGUACAUGUGACUCAAUUAUCCUCUGUUAACUUUCAUAAAAUAUUGCUGUUAAAUUGCUGACUUAGAUGCCACGUUGAGUCAAUGUGGAUCAAUUAACGAGUUAAUACCACAAAAAAUUCCAAAUCAAUAUAUCUUUAAUAAAUUCACCCCAAGCUAAUUUUUAGGUAACCAAAAAUCCCAAAUUAGUACACGCAUGACACAUUUAUUCUCCAUUGGCUUCCAUCAAAUUUUAUCAUUAAAUUUAGCGAGACUUGUAGAUUGUUGUCUUCUUCAUUGUCGUCUUUGUCUAAGGUCGUAACACUAAAGCGAGCACUCUUUAGUGACACUUUUAGUAACUCUUAACAUUACUUGCUUGUGGUUUGUCAGUUUCUUUUGUUAGACAUCCCUCCUUUGAUGUGGUUGGUUGCUUUGGAUGCUUCCCUAGCCUACCUUUGAAUUGGUGCAUGAAACCUUCUGAAAUUUAUGGAGUCAAGGGUAUCUAUUAGGUCCAUUUGUCCAGUGAUCGCGUAACAAUCUUUCAUUUGUUUCUGUUGUGAAUAUUAUUUGCACUCAAGCAGGAAAGGAAAAAAAAAAAAAACAAGCCUUUGCUCUUUAGUCUUCAUGAAAAAGAAGUCUUCGCUGUUGGCAUUAGCGCAUGGCGCUCGGCAUUGUUGCAACCCACUAACGUUUCGUACGUUCCAUAUAAUGUCCGAGUCAAAUGGCCAAGCUUUGAAUUUUCGCCAUGCCCUCCUAAUCUCCAAUGGACCGGCUUUUGAUUUGUAUCCACAUGUUCACGUUCUGGAUUAUGAGCAGUUGGUCUUUGGGUGGCGCACGUGCAUGCGCAAACUUUCCACAGAGUUGACCCGACAACGACAGGUCGAGCCUUCUAGAUGGGUAACAGACAAAACUUGGCUUGCAUGGAGCCCCCACAUGACUGAGCUAAAACCCAAUCCUCAUUGCGAGUUCCAGCGUGCGUAAUGGAGCGUCAACAGUCACGCUCGUGUUCUAGUCAAGAUAGUCGGAAUCUACUGUCCAAUCGCAAUAAAGUCGCAAAGAACAGGAGAAUUGGACUACCCCAUUCAAACACGGCAGCCACAACUUCAUUGCUAAAGCUGGGAAGGAUAUCAUCAUAGACUAUGGAGAAUAUUAUCACAAAUCUUGAAAACAAACAAAAAGAAAUGUCACCUACCCAUAGACAAUGCAGUUAAUGUGAGUUCUCUCCCUCAUCGCCGAGAUCGAGAAUUCGAACCCUCUGGCUUGCGGUGAGGUCUAACAGUACUACCGAGCACCAGAGAGUUGUGUGAUCCUCGAAUGGUGAUCUUCGAUAAUUUCUCGGUCAUAAUAUAAAAUAAAAAAAAUUCCCUUGGGAUGCUGCAAGCGUCUAUGGACACACGAAACAGAGGGACCCUUAUUCUAAUGUUUCUACAGCAAACGGAAUUUGGCAAAGCGAAAAGGCACAUCAAAUACUUCAUGUACAUGAAUAAAAGCAUUUGCUUCGGAAGUCCACGGGUGCUAUCCACUUGCCCCUUAUAUCAACUUUCCCAUUUCUGGUUAUUACUUAACAAUGGAUACAUUAUCUAUUCUGCAUAGUCAACAAGCUUGGUAGACCAGAUUUACAUAAACAUUAAGCUCUUCACCAAAGAGUUUAGGCACAGCAACUUUUGCUUAAAAGUAUGAGCAGCUCAGUACUCUCUCUCUCUCUCUCUCUCUCUCUCUCUCUCUCUCUUUCUCUCUCUCUCUCUCUCAAACAAAUUUGUAGAGAAGCCCAAAAGAAAGACAAGACAAAGACAAGACAACAUUCUAAAAGAAUUGCUGAAAGUAGGGUUGAUCAUGGUUCUCGAGUGGAACCAAAAACCUGAUAAUUGGACCCAUGGGAACCGGUUCAAUACUAAGUUUUAGGAUAUGUAAGGUAAGUUUCAAAUUCCAAAAAUUGGAAAACAUAUUCUAACGGAUAGGUUCCAAAUGGGUAAGUUACAUGUUCCAAUGGGAACUUAAAACCUAAAACUUGCAACAAGUCUUUUUGUUUUUCUUGUUCUAUGUCUUCACGCAACGCUGUGCCAUUCCAUGACAUCCAAUGAUGAAUAUGCAAUCUGAAACCAUUAGUUUGAGCUUUCAUUUACGGCAAUAUCCAUGAUUAAGGUUUAUACUUUGUGAAUAUUUCAUAAGCUUUAUGUCUAAAUAUGAGUUGUGAUUAGUGAAUUGUAACAAAUAAUGAUAAUUAAAAGUGAUAAUUCAUUGUAAUCAUUCAAUUAAUAAUACAUGAAAAACUUGGAUAAACCUAAUAAUUGACCUUGGACCUGUGACAGGUAGGUUUCAGAUUUCAAUUGAAACCUGACAAACUUUGGAACCACUCACCCCUACCCUAAAGCACCUUUGAGGAUUCAAAUAAAAAAUAAAAAAAACAACAACAACAAGAGCAUUGUAAACAAGAUUACAAUAUUUGGAACAUUAGAGUGUGAGAAUUAUUUUGGUAUUAUAAUCUUUUCACAAUCAUACUUGGAGAUCAUCAAGACCGUUCACAAUAAUGGGCCUCAUUCGAUGCUCAUAUAUCAAGAUUUUAAUUUUACUUGCAAUUAGUUGCAAGCAUAUAUGCCUACUCGCCAUAGUAUCAUGGUUACAAUUAUGAGAUCAAAUUAGUACCUACUUAUCCUAUAUCAAAUUACAUGUUAUUCUAAUUGGAGUCACCUAUGAGCUGUAAUGCUCCAUGAUUUGCUCACCUUCAAAUCCUGUUCCUUGAGAACCACUGGGACAAACUUGAACUAGCUUUUGUGGAUAGAGAUGACAUAGGGAAGCUAUUGAAUAAAGGAACUAUGCUAAUUCAAGCAUGAUCAUGCGACAUUUCUAUUCUCGCGGUUUUGCUACAAUAUUGGAGAGAAAUUUUGUUUAAGAUGAUCAUAGAUACCAUUGAUGGUACAAAGGUUGGCAGCUAGAAGGUAGGCAGUGCCAUCAAUGACAUAAAAUCUUGCACGCAAAGGUAUCCAUGAAUAGAUCCAAUGGGGUUAGAAGGAAUUCCUGGUUUAUUGGCCCAAUGCGCAGCCACAAAUUAAGUGAUGAAUUGGAGAUAUCAGUCUUGACAAUUAUGGUUACCCUGAAUACUUGAUUUUAAUCAAUGAAUGAACUAACACUUUUCCAGGAAUUUCCGUACCUAGCCAAACAAAUCAUUAGUUACUUCGUUUCCUCGACGGCAAACAAGACCGCAACCAAAAGUAAAAACCAAGAGCUCAUCUGCAGACCCAUGAUGGUUAUACUAAUUUCCUUGGCAUGUAUUGCUAUACAACUGAUAAAUUGUUAUGAAUCCAGAGAGUUACCAUGGUGACCAUCAAAUUGCAAUAAAAAAAGUGAGGACACUGUCCAUGCAACAAAUCAUUUGACAAAUACUCCGCUUUGUCUGACGAAUCUUGAUUAACGUAUAAUCCCAACAUUUUCCUCGUCAGUCUAUCAUCCCUUUGAAAAAUAGAAGCACAUAAUUCUCCAUUCAAUAGCCAACUAUAAAAAUCCAAAAAGACAGCCUUUGGUUUCUUGGAUUAAUGGAUACUGCUAGUAGUCGUUGCAGCCCACUAAUGCUUUGUACGUUCCAUAGAUCGGCAAGGCAGCGACCCGAGUGAUUUUGAUUGAUUCCUGUUGGUCCUGGUACUUUUUUGUAGUGUCCAAGUCAAAUGGUCAGCCUUUGAAUUUUCGCCAUGCCCUCCUAUUCUACAGUGGAACAGCUUUUGAUUUGUUUCCUGAUGUUCGCCUUCUGGAUGAUGAGCAAAUUGGUCUUUUGGGGGCGCAAGUGCAUGUGCAAACUUUCCACAGCGUAGACCCGACAUCGACAGGUCGAGCCCUCUCGAUGGGCAAGGAAGAUAAAACUUGGUUACAUCAGGCGCCCACAUAAUUGAACUAAACCAAUCCUCAUCGCUAGUUCCAGCACAUCCUGAGGUGCCUUCUAGAUGGGUAAGGAAGAUAAAACUUGGUUACAUCAAGCGCCCACAUGAUUGAACUAAACUAAUCCUCAUUGCUAGUUCCAGCAUAUCCUGAGGUCUGUGAUUGAUGGUUGUAAUGAGCCCGAUGCAUGGAAGGAAUUCAUCUCAGACCAUAUAGGAUGCUUCGCUUCUAUGUUUUUGAAAACUUACUAGUUCUAUAGUAAAAAUUAUCGAUGCAAAGUUGCUGACACUUCUAGGAAUUUGCCAGUGAUACUACAUAAGUUAUUAUCAUCGACAUGCUUAAACGUGAUUAAUUAAACAUGUAAAUGUGUUACCCCUGUCAUACGGCACGUUUGAAUACAUUUUGAGGCACUAAUAUAUGACAGAUAAUGAGCAUCUAUUGUAUACUAAAGCAGAAAAGCCCAGUGGAAAUCAAAGAAAGUAUCUACUCACUUACACACAUUAUCAACUAAUGCACUCGCCAUCCAAGCAUCUGUAAUGGAGCCUCAACAAUCACGCUCUUCUACUGGUCAAGAUAGUUCGAUUUCUACUUUCCAGUCGCAGUAAAGUCACAGAACAGGAGCGUUGGACUACCCAUUUCAGACACGGCAGCAACAAAUUCAUUGCUAAAGCCGGGUGAUCAAACUAUUGUUGGUCUAAAAUUACCAUUGAUACCUACACGAUUCCCAUAAAGAAUCCAUUUCUGGCUAUAGUUACCAGUAGUAUCUGGUCUAAUUCCAGAUUCGAGACUGGAUACUCUCUCAAAUUACAGCAGUUAUGUAUCCAACUAUUGCUAUUCAGCAAUUAACAGAUAGUUUAGUCACGAGUGGAGGUUGAAACCAUCAGUAAUUCCACCAAGAGAGUGCUUUCCAGACAUUAGAAUAUGAAUUCUUAUGAGAGGGUGCACCAAAGAUAGAAUCUGUGCAAGAAUCGAUUGAGUAUUGAAGAUUUCAUAGAGCACGGUCAAAUACGGUCAAAACAAAUUAUUAACCAGAAAAGAUAAGAUUCAACUAACUCAUUGAGAGAGAGAGAGAGAGAGAGAGAGAGAGAGGAUAUCAUCAUAGACUAUGGAGAAGGUUAUGGCAGAUCUGAACAACAGACAAAAACAAUGCCUAUGGCAUGCUUCAAGUACCUGUGGAGACACGAAAUAGAAGGACUCUUGUUUACUACUCCUAAUACUUCUGUGACAAACUUAUUUUGACAAACCAAAGAGUCUCUGCCCGAGUGCCCUCAUCAUGAUAGCCUUCUUAAACUCGAUCGAACUUAGGAGCCGAAACAAACCAGUCGCAUCUCCUCUUGUUCCUCCUUAUGGGCCUUGACAAGCACUGCAAAUUUGCAUUGUGUUGGGCAAUCACAAGCCAUGUGUGCACCAUCGCACAAGAGACACUUUAAGGAGAAGCACCCCUUCUUGUGUACUUCGCCACUCGACUCUGCUUUUGCUAUUUUAGGGGCCACUGGCAGUUUGCUUCCACUUAGAUGAUGGAACUUGUUACCAUCUCCCCCACCAAUGACUUUGUCCCUCAGUCGGGAGUCCGACUUGUUUCCGGAAGUUGCCUUGUAUUCCACAAGGGUCUCGGCCACAGACAUGGCUGUAUAGAGAUCCUUUAAAUUGCACCGCUUCAGUUCUUGCUUUAUCCAUGGUUUGAGACCACCCAUGAACUGGAAGUAAGCCUCCAUAUCGUUCAUGGAAGGGAUUUGGAGUAGCAACUCCGAGAACUUCACAUAUUCACCGACUCCUCCUUUUUGCUCUAGGCGACGGAGUUCGUCUCGAGCCUCCUCUUCCACAUGGAUGGGAUAGUAUUGUCAUCAAAACUCCUUAACGAACAUCUCCCAAGUCAUGAUAGGCUCACCACACCUAUCAUCGCACCUAUGACGCCACCAUAAUAAAGCAUCAUACAUGGCUGCGGUAGUUACCCGUAGUGCACCAUCAGUAAGCCCCGUUGCUCGGAAGUAUUGAUCUAUGUACCACAGGAAAUUGUCCACAUACUUAGCCACCCAUGAGCCCUUGCACUCUUUUGGCUUCGGGACGUCUCCUCGUGGACCAGAUUGCUCAGUGAUCACGCUGUUCAUGCAUGCCGUUUCCACCUCAGUGAGCUUCACCUUGAACUCAGCCAUCUCCGUGCGCAUGGCCUCCACCAAGGCCUCCAAGGCAUCAUUCCAUUGCCGGAGUUCAUUGGCUGUGUUGAUCAGGGAGCCCAACAUCUCUCCUCAGAGUUUUGAGCUCUUGCACUUCUGCUUGGAGCUCCCUCUUUCUGGACUCGACUCCUUCAAUGCUAUUGGACAAUUUUCGACCGUUCCUUGGACAUCCCUGAGAAUGAUCUCCAUCUUCGUCACGCAGGUCUCCAAGUCACACAGCACAUCCCUUGAACUCAAGCUACCACGGCCUUUCUUUGCCUUGGCGCCUUGUUGCUCAAUGGCCCUCCCACUUUGUUCCUCAACCAUGGGUUUCUCACCCUGGAUGGACAUUACGUCUGAACGUGGAUCCAUUGCGCCUUGGAUCAACUUGCUCUGAUACUAGACUUACAUAAACAUUAUGCUUUUCAUCAAAGAUCUUAGGCACAGCAACUUUUGCUUAAAAAUCCCCCCCCCCCCCCCAAAAAAAAAAAAAAAAAAAAACAACCCCGAACUAAAUCUCUAGGGGAACUUGGACAAGCCAUAAGAAAGAAGAGACAACAUUCUUUAAGAAAUUGCGUAAAGUAUCUCUGAGAAUGCAUUGGAAAAAACAAAAAAAAACAAAAAAAAAAAGAUUGCUGUAAAAGAAUUAUUUCAGUGUUAUAAUCUUUUCAAAAUCAUACUUGAAGAUCAUCAAGACUGUAUCUAAUAAUGGGCCCUAUUAGAUGCUCGGGGUUUUAAUUUAACUUGCCCUUAGUUGCAAGCACACAUGCUCUUUGCCACACAAUUGUGAGAUCAGAUUAGUACCUGCUUAUCCUGUAGAAGAUUACAUGUUAUUCUAAUUGGAGUCACCACUGAGCCCUAAUGCACCAUGAUUUGCUCACCUUCAAAUCCUGUUCCUUGAGAACCAUUGAGACAAACUUGUACUGGCUUUUGUGGACAGAGAUAACACAGGGAAGCUAUUGACGAAAGGAACUAAGCUAAUUCAACCAUGAUCACCUGACAUUGCUGUUCUCAUGAUUUGCUACAGCAUCGGAGAGGAAUUGCAUUGAAGAUGAUUAUAGAUGCCACCAAUGGUGCAAACGUUGGCAGCUAGAAGGUAGGCAGUAUCAUCAAACACAUAAAACUCUUGCACACAAAGGUACCCAUGAUUAGAUCCAGUCGGGUUAGAAGGAACUAAAUUCCUGAUUUAUUGGCCCAAUGCGCAGCCGCAAAUUAAGUGAUAAAUUGGAGAUAUCGGCCUUCAAUAUUAUGGCCACUUUAAUACCGUAAGUUGCUUUUAGUCAAUGAAGGAACUGACAAUUUUUCUAGGAAUAAGAACAGAUAUAUACCUUGGGUGCAUUACUAGAAUGGAAAAUUUUCUAACAGAAAAUGCUCUUAUCUCAAAUUCUGAAUGUGAAUACCACAAUCCAUUUCCCUUCCUACCCAAACAAAUCAUAAACUACUAGACAGUAAACAAGUUUAGCUACCACAACCAAAAGUGAAAGCCAAGAGGUCAUCAGCAUAACCAUAACAGUUAUACUAACCUCCUCUCCAUGUAUUGCUGUACGACUCAUAGAUUGUUAUGAAUCCAAAGAGUUACCAUGGUGACCAUCAAAUUGCAAUGAUAAGGUGAGGGCAAUGUCCAAGUGACAAAUCACUUGACAAAUACUCUGCUUUGUCUCACAAAUCCUGAUUAACAUAUGAAUCCCAACCUUUCCCUAGACAGAAUAUCAUACAUUCGAAAAAUAGAAGCACAUAUUUCUCCAUUCAAUAUCCAACCAUAGCAAUCCACUCCUCUUACAACAACAGUACAACAGCAGCAAAUGUAAUUGUUGGUAUAUAGCAAAUGAUCAUUUAUUUAUGUAUACCAAUAUGAGUACACAAUAAGAACACUAAGCAGAGGUCAUACGCAUACAUUGGAGGAGCCCGUAUUCUCGAGCUUCGAGAGCCAGAAUGAGCGCCUGAAUGCCCAAAUUCCCCUCCCCAUGAGCCUUGAGCGACAAGUAAAGCUGCUGAGCAAGCGCCAAGCCUGGCAAUGCGAGACCCAUCCUCUCACAUUCCUUCAGGCAUAUCCCCAAAUCCUUCGCAAAAUGGUUCACGUAGAACCUGGCGUCAAAAUCCCUCUUGCAGAAUCCUGUUCCCAUGCGAAUCCAGCGACUUCGAGCCCGCAGCCCCAGUCGAUAUUGCGCUUACAAACAUCCCAACAUCGAGCCCCGCCUUAUGGGCAUAAACCAUGCCCUCCACCAGCCCCACCAUCGUCGAAGCGAUCGUGAUUUGAUUCCCCAAUUUCGCGAACUGCGCCUUUCCGGGGCCUCCCAUGUAAUUGACCUUCGCCAUCAGUAGGUAUAUUAGUAAUUUACCUAUACAACAUUGGAAAUCCAUUAUUGGAAUUUUUGGUUAUUUUAAGAAAACUAAAAAUUUAAUAUUGUUCUAUGAUAAUUAUCCGAUUGUUGUAGAAUGAUACAUUGAUAUUAGUUGAAUUACAAGUGUGGAUAAUAAACAAUCUACUACUGGAUGGAUUUUCACUUUUGAUAAUUGCGUUGUUUCCUGGAUGAGAAAGAAACAUAUAUAUAUAAGUCAAAGAUGGAAUCCAAAUUCAUUGUUUCAGCAACAACUGAGAAAAAGUCUAAAUUAAUUAGGAAUUUGCUGUUGGAUAUUAAGUUAUGGCCCAAUCCUUUACCUCUUAUUUCUAUCUAUUGUAAUAGUCAUGCUACUUUGAUAAAGGCUUAUAGUAGCACUUAUAAUGAUAAAUCUAGACAUACUAGUCCGAAACAUGAGUACGUGAGAUAAGUAAUUAAAAAUGGUACCAUAACAAUUGUCUACGUAAGGGUUUAGCAACAUUUUAGUCAAUCCCUUGACAAAGACUUUAUCAAGAAAUAUGAUAAAAAUGACCUCACAAGAAAUGAGGCUAAAAGCCUUUAAUCACCAGUAAUGGCAACCCAAUAAUUUCCUAUAAUAUUAUUACUUAUGAGUUUUAACGGAUGAGAACAAGUUACUGAAUGUGAUUGUGUAAUACUGAUAUAGCCCUAAUAUGAUAAGUCAAUAUCAUCUCUUACGUUUUGUAGGUUAAAUGUAUAGUACAAAUUUAUAAUGUGUUAAUAGUAACAAAAACACAAAAGAGAUACUUCACCUAUAUGAGCUUAGAUGUAGUGCCGCUUCUUACAAAAGUUAGGAUUACUUUCUAAAGAGCUCUUGAAACAGGAUCAAACGCAAUGCCAUAAUAAUGCGCAAUAAAUAGAAUUUCCCGCUGAAAUAAGAGAUUAGUAUGUAUGCAGUUUGUUCAAUUAUAUUAUUUAAAAGUAUAAGUUACUUGUCACUUUAAUAGAAUUUUGAUAUAUUUACACUAAGUAAAAAUUUAACUUGAAAGAGACAUUUAUGUAUGUAUAUUAAUUUCAUUGAAAUUUUGGUUGUGUAUUUCUAACAUUUUAUUUUCUACUUUUGGGAAUUAUUGGUAGUUUGUCCAUAAAAUAAAUUAAAAUGUGUCUUGUCCCAUAUCGAAAAGAUGUGAAUGCACACGUAAGCGAGAUUUGACACUAACCAACGAUCAUUAUUUUUUAUUAAAAAUUCGGAUUUAUUUCUAUAAAAAAAAUUAACCAUAAAGUCUUAUUGAAAUAGCACAACUAUUCACAACGAAAUUAUGGUUAUUUUUUAUUUUUUAUUAAUGUAACUUCGAAUUUUAUAUGUCUUUUCAACAUUACCUUUGAAAAACGCAUUUGUUCACUUUGCGACAUUUCCAAAAAAGUGUUUUGUUUAUUUUGCAACAUUUUGAAAAGUAGGCUUUGUUCAAAAGACAAAUAUAAGUUCAUUUGUUUUUAAGAUCAUUUUCGAGUCUUCUUUCCAAAACUACAACCAUCUUAUCCAAUUGUUUGCUAUAAAGACUCUGCAAAAAUACUAGAAUUGCUAUCUAAUAUUCUAAUUUUAAACUUUGUUAUAUAUUGGAGGAAAUUUACUGGUGACCAUUAGCAAUAUUAUGGGACAAAUAAAUUAUUAAAGAAACUAAUAUCAUGCCUCAAAGUCCGACUUAAAUACUCUAGAUAUCGGACUUCAUUAUUUUAUCCAAUUCAAAGUCAUAUUUUUCCAACAGAAACUAUUCGCUAGGACAGAACAAGAAAGUUACACGAGCUGAUAGCUAAAACAUGCCAUUCUUAUUCAGUUGAACGAAUCUGAGAAAGUGAGAAUAUGCCACUUGAAGUGCGUUUGAGAAUUGCCUAGUUGAUUACAAUAAGGAUUCAAGUCUUCCGUCUGCGGCAGAGCGGGAUGUGGGAAUCUCUUCUUAUGGGUAUUGCUAAUCGUACCUCUCCAUUGGUUCCUGCAUAUAUCACCCAAACGGUCGGCUAAUUGGAAAUCCUUUUUAUCACAACAGCGUCGCCAGAACGGUUCUCGAUAAUAUUGUGUACUUUCCCUGAUCCGCAAAUUCUGAUCACAUCACGCUCCUUCAAUCCCGACAAAGCUCUGAUUGUGAAUAUCGCUAGCUUCAAAACAAAUAUUGCCACAGCAAUGACCAAGAGCACAAUCAAGGCAAGAUUGAUCGGCAAGCUUUUGCUCCAUCUCCGGGAUUGGGAAUUGCAGACAUUGAGCCACAUGAAUGAAUUGGAUGCACAGAGGCCCGGGUUGUUCAGGAAACUGGUGUUGUACACGGCGUUCUCUAAUUCAUUUGGGAUUCGUCCACUGAGGCGAUUGGAGGAUAAAUUGAGAAGGUUCAAAUUCAGCUGGCCGAUUUCAGGAGGAAUCAAGCCAGACAGUUGGUUUUCAGACAGGUCCAACUGCUCAAGUACCGGUAGAAGACCGAUUUUGCUAGGAAUCGGUCCCGACAAUUUAUUGUGACUAAGAUUCAGAGUGUUCAAGGAGUUCCACGAAACAAUAGCUGUCGGAAGAUUCCCAGAGAGCUCGUUCUGACCUAGCAAAAGCGCCACCAGAGAAGGAAGCUUGGUUAAUUCAGUCGGAAUGGUGCCACUGAGGAGGUUAUUACUGGCAUCAAACACUACCAAGCUCCUCCAUGAAGACACCGUGCUCGGAAUCUUGCCGAAGAAUUUGUUGUUGCUCAUCUUAAUCCGAGUGAGGUUUGGCGAAAGCUCCUUGGGAAGCUCACCAGUUAAUCCAUUACCACUCAAGAUCAAAGCCGUCAAGUUCCGCGACAUCCAGAGUCCUCCAGGCACAUUGCCGGUGAAUCCAUUGUUGUUCAACAUUGCUACAGACAAAGUACUGCAAUUUCCAAGUGACUCCGGUAACUCCCCGCCGAGAUUGUUGUCCAUAACGGCCAACCCAAACAGCGUGCCACCAUGGCACAGUUGUUCAGGCAAUGCGCCAGUCAAGCUGUUGAAGGCCACUUCGAAUCUGCUGAGUGGGGAAAACUUGCCGAAGUCGGGGGGGAUCGUGCCCGAUAGAUUGUUGUUGGACAGCCUGACAUCAGACAAAGAGGGAAGACGCCCAAUACCUUCGGGGAUUUCACCGGAUAAUUGAUUGAACUGCAAACUCAAGCUGGAUAGAUUCUUGAGCUUCCCAAAAUCUUCAGGUAUGUUCCCCGUCAAGUUAUUAAAAGAUAGAUCAAUCAUGCUCAAGUUCCUCAGAGUGAAAAUGCUGCCCGGGAUCUCUCCCGUUAGUAGAUUCAUCCCCAAAUCCAAGUGCUCAAGAGCCUCCAUAUUCCCAAUAGUCUCUGGGAUUCCCCCAAUCAGGUUUGUUUGUGCCAUCGAGAAGAACCGUAGCUUCUUCAGGGCAGUGAAGUUCUGCUGUAGCUGCGACGGCACAAACUUGUUGUACUCGAGCCUCAGUUCUUCGAGAUCUGACAGGCCAAAAAUCUCUUCAGGGUAAGUGCCAUUGUACUCGGACUGGCAAAGGUGAAGGAUCCUCAGCCUCCACAACCUCGCAAUCGAUGCUGGGACAUCAAACGAGAAGCUGUUGGCAGCAAGAAUCAGGACCUGAAGAUCGGCCAUCCGGUCGAUGUCGGAUGUAAUAGGACCAUCGAAGUAAUUCUGGGACAGGUCGAGGUACACGAGCUUGGAACAGUUGUAGAGAACAGUGGGAAACCCUCCAGGUAUAUUGUUGUAGGAGAUGUCGAGCUUGGUCAGAUUCUUGAGGUUGCAGAUGAAUGGAGGGAUCGAAUAAUUUAUGCUCAGGUUGACAAGAUUGAGCUCGGAGAUCCAGCCUUCUUGGCAUGUGAUCUCAGGCCAUGUGCAGUGGGAGGAUGAAUUGGAGGCGACCCAGUGGUCGAGGGAAGAUGGGUCUUGCCAGGAUUGCCUCAGCUUCAACAGGACUUGCUGUUCUUGAUCUUGGAUUUGAGACUCUACAGCACUGGAGAGUAAGCACAGGAAGACGAGACAGGGGAUGUACGAGAGGAAGAAGAUGUGAAUCUGAGGAGGUGAUGGGGUCGGUCUCGGCAUAAUUGGAGGUCGUUCAGAGUCUUUUCUGGCUAGGGAGACUCUCCGGUGUUGGAGCUAGAGAUGGAUCAACUCAACAUGAAGCAAAGACGUG
rnacentral:lncRNA from 1 species